GGGAAAUUGAUUGAUCAUGAAAUUCCUUAAUAUGGAUCUUCAUCUAUUUUAUUUUUAAUCUGUGUUUAGUUAAAUGAUUGUGGGCAAAUUGAGCUUUAACGAGACGAUUUUAUUGUUUUAACAGGUUUGGAAUUGAGCAAGAGUACACUUUGCUUCAACCAGAUGUAAAGUGGCCUUUGGGAUGGCCUGUUGGAGGCUACCCUGGUCCACAGGGUCUAUACUACUGUGGUGCUGGAGCGGAUAAGUCAUUUGGAAGAGACAUAUCAGAUGCACAUUACAAGGCUAGUUUUU